CCCACAUUUUCCUAAACCACGUGGUUUUCACGCCUGUAACCUCACCAGGCCAUGAGCACAACCCUUAAUAACACCAAAGAACUAUGAAGUUGUAACAUAAAGAAAUGUGACGUUACAAGAUAUCUGUGUUUUGCAGACACAUACUUUUCAGACAUUAUCCUGCCUAUUGGUUUGGUGUUUCAUGAGAACGUUUAUUUGUAUUUGUUGACAUAAUAAAAUAAGUUUUUUUCUUGGUUUGCAUGUGAAACAUCAGGUCAGACUGCUUUAUUAUACUUGUCAAGUGUUUGCUAUUCAAACGUGUACAACAAUGUCUUUCACCACUGACCAGCAGGAUGAGUCACAGCCCUCCCUCUCUGAUAUUUAUCUGUUUCAAGUUCCAUCAGAUCAGCUCGGCGUACUUUUGGCACAAACGCUGGAAAAUGAGUUCAGAAGGCGGCCUGGUGCUGCGGCUUGCUGAUUAAUAUUAAUUCCUCCCACUACGGGAGUCUGCAUUUGAUUCCCGGCCCAUUGUGCUUACUUUUCAUUCACUUCAGUGGUAUCGCAGAGUCGGCCGCCUGCUCUGUAAGUGCCACUGAAUGAAUAUUCAGCUAUCGAACAACUUUCAUCUGUGAACAUUUGGGCUCGACCCCUCCAUUUGUCACUCGCAGCGAUGUUAUAUUUCUCUCCUUUGGGAAUGCAUUUUGUUUGGAUUUCAUGGCAUCUCUUGCCUGAGUUUCCCUCCACACCUGCGCUGCAUCUCCUCCAUCAGCUCCUCCUCCCUGUUUUCUAGUGUUUCUCCACCUGCACCUCAUCCCCUUACACAGGAUGGCUGAUCUGGGUUCAGGGUCGGAAGGAUCCUUGCUGAAACUGGAGCUUGAACGCAGGGAAUGACACGUCUCUGCUCCCAGAAAAAUCUUGGAGGCAUUUUAAAAAAGCCCCAGACAUCAACCACGCUUUGAACCGUUGCACAUUUGGAAAUUAUGAGUCGGGAAGUGGCUUAAUGGAGUGUUUGAUGGAUUUUAAUGAGCUACCACACGACAUCCUCCAUCAACAGAGACACUGCAGAGAUGAAAACGCAGCACAUGUAAAAACUACAGCACAUUGACUUGUAUGUGUGUGAGGAGUGAGGUCAGAAUAUGCUGUCACCUGUGUGUGUGUGUGUGUGUGUGUGUGUGUGUGUGUGUGUGUGUGUGUGUGUGUGUGUGUGUGUCUGUGUGU